rnacentral:rRNA from 1 species
UAGGGAAUCUUCGGCAAUGGGGGCAACCCUGACCGAGCAACGCCGCGUGAGUGAAGAAGGUUUUCGGAUCGUAAAGCUCUGUUGUAAGUCAAGAACGAGUGUGAGAGUGGAAAGUUCACACUGUGACGGUAGCUUACCAGAAAGGGACGGCUAACUACGUGCCAGCAGCCGCGGUAAUACGUAGGUCCCGAGCGUUGUCCGGAUUUAUUGGGCGUAAAGCGAGCGCAGGCGGUUUGAUAAGUCUGAAGUUAAAGGCUGUGGCUCAACCAUAGUUCGCUUUGGAAACUGUCAAACUUGAGUGCAGAAGGGGAGAGUGGAAUUCCAUGUGUAGCGGUGAAAUGCGUAGAUAUAUGGAGGAACACCGGUGGCAAAAGCGGCUCUCUGGUCUGUAACUGACGCUGAGGCUCGAAAGCGUGGGGAGCGAACAGGAUUAGAUACCCUGGUAGUCCACGCCGUAAACGACGAGUGCUAGGUGUUGGAUCCUUUCCGGGAUUCAGUGCCGCAGCUAACGCAUUAAGCACUCCGCCUGGGGAGUACNACCGCAAGGUUG